rnacentral:rRNA from 1 species
GAUGAACGCUGGCGGCGUGCCUAAUACAUGCAAGUCGAGCGAACAGACGAGGAGCUUGCUCCUCUGACGUUAGCGGCGGACGGGUGAGUAACACGUGGAUAACCUACCUAUAAGACUGGGAUAACUUCGGGAAACCGGAGCUAAUACCGGAUAAUAUAUUGAACCGCAUGGUUCAAUAGUUAAAGACGGUUUUGCUGUCACUUAUAGAUGGAUCCGCGCCGCAUUAGCUAGUUGGUAAGGUAACGGCUUACCAAGGCGACGAUGCGUAGCCGACCUGAGAGGGUGAUCGGCCACACUGGAACUGAGACACGGUCCAGACUCCUAAGGGAGGCAGCAGUAGGGAAUCUUCCGCAAUGGGCGAAAGCCUGACGGAGCAACGCCGCGUGAGUGAUGAAGGUCUUCGGAUCGUAAAACUCUGUUAUUAGGGAAGAACAAAUGUGUAAGUAACUAUGCACGUCUUGACGGUACCUAAUCAGAAAGCCACGGCUAACUACGUG